rnacentral:lncRNA from 1 species
CCCCAGGCAAUUCUUUCAUUAUUCCUGUCACACAGUUGCAUAUUCUUCCAUGUGGUAUUAAUUGUCUUACAUGUAAUUGAUUGUUCACAUAUCUGUCUUCUUCACAGAGCUCCCCAAGGACAAGGUCAAGUUUUGGAAGCCCCUGUUCGAUGCUCGCUGCUGUUGACACUCACGGCUCUUCUACUAGUGUGGCCCACAGCAAGCCACUGCACGAUUACCAACUCCCCUAAGAGCUUGUCUAGAAUCUUCUCUCUUGUCAUUUCAGCAGGAGCUGGAAGCACAGAGGAUGCCCACGUCAUUGAACACAGGUAUCCAGCAUCUGGAAACCAGGCAUCCAAGAUGGCAGCAGGACUCAGUCUUCUGAUUGGGAGCCAAUUAAAAAGUCAAAGUAUUAUUCAUUUCCUUUACCAUACAAAAGAAAAUAAAGAGGUAUAGAGAAUGUUGAGUGGUUCCUUUGUGAGAGUACUGUUGGUGGGAAUUCCUUCUAUAGAAUGAGAGGGGAAUGUGGGAAGAAGAAGAAAAAGUUUCCUUAAAGAUGCAAAUCCUCAAUUUUUUCAUGUAUGUUUAGAUUUCCACAUCAGCAUUGGCCUCUUCUGUUUCUACUUCUUUAGCUGUCUUGUAGGAGAGGUAGACUGCAAUAAGUGGAGAGAUGGGUGUUUAAAUCCAGGGCCUUUGAUCUCAACAUGCAUUUCAGCUUUUCCUUUCCUUUGAUUUCAUUUUUGCUCUCAGAAGAAGCCAGAGGCAGGGAUGUAUUUCCCCAAAACAUGAAGGCACUUGUGCCAUUUUCCAGGGAACCUGCCCAGUAGUAGGGAUCUGGGAUGGCACAAAGUAGGGACAGUCUGUUAUGGCUCUGUCUCCCCAUAUUGGCUUCUACACGUGUGACUUCUAGACUACUUUGUGUAAAUCCUGAAAGAUGAACCAGAAAAUUAUUUUAGUAGAAAUGCAUGCAUUUUACAAUGAAUUAAGGGGAGGUAGUCAUGAUUUGCAAUGAGGAUUCAAUGCACUUCUCCAAAUGUCUCUCCCUUCUGUAGAAAGCUAAAUAAAUAAUGUUUCUGUCUAGAAAACGGAGGGUAC